GAUGAACGCUGGCGGCGUGCCUAAUACAUGCAAGUCGAGCGAACAGACGAGGAGCUUGCUCCUCUGACGUUAGCGGCGGACGGGUGAGUAACACGUGGAUAACCUACCUAUAAGACUGGGAUAACUUCGGGAAACCGGAGCUAAUACCGGAUAUAUAUUGAACCGCAUGGUUCAAUAGUGAAAGACGGUUUUGCUGUCACUUAUAGAUGGAUCCGCGCCGCAUUAGCUAGUUGGUAAGGUAACGGCUUACCAAGGCGACGAUGCGUAGCCGACCUGAGAGGGUGAUCGGCCACACUGGAACUGAGACACGGUCCAGACUCCUACGGGAGGCAGCAGUAGGGAAUCUUCCGCAAUGGGCGAAAGCUUGACGGAGCAACGCCGCGUGAGUGAUGAAGGUCUUCGGAUCGUAAAACUCUGUUAUUAGGGAAGAACAAAUGUGUAAGUAACUAUGCACGUCUUGACGGUACCUAAUCAGAAAGCCACGGCUAACUACGUG
rnacentral:rRNA from 1 species